UACGUAGGGCGCAAGCGUUGUCCGGAAUUAUUGGGCGUAAAGAGCUCGUAGGUGGCUUGUCGCGUCUGCCGUGAAAGCCCAUGGCUUAACUGUGGGUCUGCGGUGGAUACGGGCAGGCUGGAGGCUGGUAGGGGCAAGCGGAAUUCCUGGUGUAGCGGUGAAAUGCGCAGAUAUCAGGAGGAACACCGGUGGCGAAGGCGGCUUGCUGGGACAGUUCUGACGCUGAGGAGCGAAAGCGUGGGGAGCGAACAGG
rnacentral:rRNA from 1 species